rnacentral:tRNA from 2 species
UGGGGUGUGGCCAAGCGGUUAAGGCAGCGGCUUUUGAUGCCGCCAUUCGGAGGUUCGAGUCCUCCCACCCCAGCCA